GUCAAAUUUGAUUAAAAUAAUUCAAAAUAUAUAUUUAAUUUUAAAAAUAUAUGAAUAUUAAUAUAAAAAUGCAUUUCUAUUUUUAUAUUAUCUUUAUCAGCAGCAAAAUAAGUCCAGUCCGAAAUAAUUAAUAGAACUAUUUUUUAAACCCGAACUGCAACCCAGUCAUGGACAGCAAUACUCAAGAGUACAUGUGAAUCUGACUCUAAGAGAGCAAAUCAAAUCUUCAUAAAAUUAGCAUACUAGCUUGGACAAAAUUAGCGACGACAAGGGGAGUGACAAAAGUGGGGAACAAUUGGUUAAAAAGGAAAGCAAGAGGAGGAGGAGGAGGCAAGUGAUGAAGAGGUCAAAUAUGGUGGCAAAGAAAGUAAUAAGCAUCCAAUCUGCUUAAAGCUUAGGCUUUGUGUCUCAAUUAUGGGUGGAUACCACCUCUGAAACAAAAGUAUGUAUCAAAAAUUACAAUCAGAAGUGAACCAAGGUUAUUUGUGCAAGUUGUUAAUACAUAUGCUGUUGUUUCCGUGGUCGGUAUUGGUUGUGGAGGUGAGGCCAAGCUUGCUUUCUGGGGAAUCAGGAAGUUUUCUUUGACAAGAUGUUGACAAGGUUGGUGAUGUUGGGCUUGUUGAAGAUGAGACAGUGAUAGAGAAUGAUUGGACUUGAGACUCUGGUAGGAUACAAAGUUGUAUGUCCAGGACAUCAAAACAUUGGGAAGGGGGGACUACAUAUUUUAUGCACUAGAAGCUCUCUGCUUAUUUCAUUGUGCGUUAUAUCAUUUCAUAUGUUUCUAGAUACGAUUCCUGGUGAGCACUUAGGCAUUGCUUGUUGAGGAUGUGCUGGAAGUUAUGGCUGAUACAGUAAUAUCAGGCUAAAAAGCUUAAUAUAGCCUUACAACUUUUCUACUGCUGGACAAUGUAGCUUCUGUUGUCUUUGACUAACUGCAUCGGGUUGUCCAUAUAUGUACAAUAUAAAAAUCCCAUAUCCAUAUGAUGACUAUGUGUUUUGAUCCA